rnacentral:rRNA from 1 species
GACGAACGCUGGCGGCGUGCUUAACACAUGCAAGUCGAACGGAAAGGCCCUGCUUUUGUGGGGUGCUCGAGUGGCGAACGGGUGAGUAACACGUGAGUAACCUGCCCUUGACUUUGGGAUAACUUCAGGAAACUGGGGCUAAUACCGGAUAGGAGCUCCUGCUGCAUGGUGGGGGUUGGAAAGUUUCGGCGGUUGGGGAUGGACUCGCGGCUUAUCAGCUUGUUGGUGGGGUAGUGGCUUACCAAGGCUUUGACGGGUAGCCGGCCUGAGAGGGUGACCGGCCACAUUGGGACUGAGAUACGCCCCAGACUCGUACAGGAGGCAGCAGUGUAGAAUAUUACACAAUGGGCGGAAGCCUGAUGCAGCAACGCCGCGUGCGGGAUGACGGCCUUCGGGUUGUAAACCGCUUUCGCCUGUGACGAAGCGUGAGUGACGGUAAUGGGUAAAGAAGCACCGGCUAACUACGUG